rnacentral:rRNA from 1 species
GUUGUCCGGAAUUAUUGGGCGUAAAGAGCUCGUAGGCGGUGUGUCACGUCGGCCGUGAAAACCUGCAGCUUAACUGUGGGCGUGCGGUCGAUACGGGCAUCACUGGAGUUCGGCAGGGGAGACUGGAAUUCCUGGUGUAGCGGUGAAAUGCGCAGAUAUCAGGAGGAACACCGGUGGCGAAGGCGGGUCUCUGGGCAGUAACUGACGCUGAGGAGCGAAAGCGUGGGGAGCGAACAGG